UUAUUUUGCUACACUAGCAGAACAGAAGCACCAGAGAUGUUAAUGUUUUAACGAUACUGUUAUUGAUUUCAACUGUUCUAAUCUAUUUGGAGAAAAGAAGUAGAGAGAUAUUGGAAAUAUAGGGUUUGAGUGUUUGAUAGUGUGUGGUUCUAAUGUAUCAGCGAGAUGCAACAAGCUAACGUGAUGGACAUAUGUGAUGAUGUACUGUGCAGUUGGAACUAAUCUUCUCAAGGAUAAUUCACACAUUCAGAUACAGAACACUUGAAAGCGAUUCAACAAGAGAGGACUUGUUGGAGCCCUGGGAGAGACUGAGCUUGGCUUAAAAGGACAACUGUGAGGUGGCUGAGAUGAGAUGGAUCUCACAGACACACAGACAGACUGUCCUACUACUCUGGGGCGCUGCACGUCUAGGUGCCGCACGUCUACAGGAUGCUGGGUUCCUGUGAGCUGGACUGAUUCGAGUCCUGACGAUUCUGCAAUGUGAUGGAGAAGGCAACCUCCAACCGAGGGGAUGCAGGCAAAGGAAAGCUCUGGACAACGUUUACGGGGGGGAAAGAUCUAUUGCACAACAUCAUGCUACGCUGAUUGGGUCCAUACCAGGUACGUCUCAUCUGCUGUACAGGUAGCUGAGAGAGGAACCUGGGAUCGACGACACGCUACAAGAGGAUUUCAGUGUUUAAAGGUUAGACACAGUGAAUUGAAUUCACUGAGGGAAAAGUGAAUUUUCUGGUGCUCAUAAUCAGUCACUUUUUACCUGGCCUUUAGCUAUAGAACCUUUAGCUAAAACUGGUCAUCUUGGAGUUCACAAGGGAGAAUACACAGAUUUUCCUGGCCUGGCUGAUAAAGCAGCUAGAAUGAAGGACAACACCUUGGAAUAUACAUCUGACUUUUACGUUCUGUUACAUCGGCCUGCCAAAGAAAUGGUUCAUAACUGACUGUCUGACGUUUGGAGGAGCAGAACAUUUGUGAUGACUUUGGAAGUACAUCUAAUUGGCAUGAGAGGACUUUGUAACAGUGAUGAAUUGAAGGAUGCAUUCAGUGAUAGGUGUUUAUGAUGAUUUUAACAUAAAGGUUUUGCUGUACUAUGUUAUGAUUCUGUAUGAUGACAAUGUGUGAUCUUGGAGUUAAUACGAAGGUAAUGAUCUAGAAGAAUGUAAAUGAGGAUCCAGACAUUUCAGAUUUGUUCUGUUCUCUAAUCAUUAAGGGUAAUGAUAUUGACUGGG
ensembl:lncRNA